GGUUUAUUGAAGAUAAUUUUAGAUUUAACCUGCCCAAUGAUAAUUUAUUUAUUUAAUGGCCGCAGUAUUUUGACUGUGCAAAGGUAGCAUAAUCAUUAGUUUCUUAAUUGGAAGCUUGUAUGAAAGGUUUGAUGAAAAAAUUUCUGUCUCUAUUUGAAUUUUAAAAUUUUAUUUUUGAGUAAAAAAGCUUAAAUGUGUAUAAAAGACGAGAAGACCCUAUAGAGUUUUAUAAUUGAAAAAAUAAAUAGAAAUUUAGAAUUUAUAUAUUUAUUUUGAUAUUAUUUAGUUGGGGUGACAAAAAAAUUGAUAAAACUUUUUUUAUUUAAGAACAUAGAUUUAUGAAUAUUUGAUCCUUUGAUUAAGAUUAAAAGAUAAAAUUACCUUAGGGAUAACAGCGUAAUUUUUUAAAAAGUUCUUAUUAAAAAAAAAGAUUGCGACCUCGAUGUUGGAUUAAAGGAAAUUAUUGGUGUAGAAGCUAGUAAAUUAGGUCUGUUCGACCUCUAAGACUUUACAUGAUCUGAGUUUAAACCGGUGUGAG
rnacentral:rRNA from 1 species